GAUGAACGCUAGCGAUAGGCUUAACACAUGCAAGUCGAGGGGCAGCACAAGGUAGCUUGCUAUCUGGGUGGCGACCGGCGCACGGGUGCGUAACGCGUAUGCAACUUGCCCUAUACAGGAGGAUAACCCGUCGAAAGACGGACUAAUACUGCGUAUGCUCACAACUUGGCAUCAAGUGGUGAGGAAAGAAAUUCGGUAUAGGAUAGGCAUGCGUCCCAUUAGCUUGUUGGUGAGGUAACGGCUCACCAAGGCAACGAUGGGUAGGGGAACUGAGAGGUUUAUCCCCCACACGGGUACUGAGACACGGACCAGAAUCCUACGGGAGGCAGCAGUGAGGAAUAUUGGUCAAUGGGCGCGAGCCUGAACCAGCCAAGUCGCGUGAAGGAUGACUGUCUUAUGGAUUGUAAACUUCUUUUAUACGGGAAUAACAAGAGUCACGUGUGACUCCCUGCAUGUACCGGAUGAAUAAGCAUCGGCUAACUCCGUG
rnacentral:rRNA from 1 species